rnacentral:rRNA from 1 species
UACGGGGGGGGCAAGCGUUGUUCGGAAUUACUGGGCGUAAAGGGCUCGUAGGCGGCCAACUAAGUCGGAUGUGAAAUCCCCAGGCUUAACCUGGGAACUGCAUCCGAUACUGGAUGGCUUGAAUCCGGGAGAGGGAUGCAGAAUUCCAGGUGUAGCGGUGAAAUGCGUAGAUAUCAGGAAGAACACCCGUGGCUAAGGCGGCUCUCUAGUACGGUACUGACGCUGAGACACGAAAGCGUGGGUAGCAAACAGG